rnacentral:rRNA from 1 species
GGCUCAGGAUGAACGCUAGCUACAGGCUUAACACAUGCAAGUCGAGGGGCAGCAUGUCGGUUGCUUGCAACCGAUGAUGGCGACCGGCGCACGGGUGAGUAACGCGUAUCCAACCUGCCCCACGGUGAGGGAUAACCCGCGGAAACGCGGCCUAAUACCUCAUGGCCUCCGAGCUUGACAUCAAUCUUGGAGUAAAGAUUCAUUGCCGUGGGAUGGGGAUGCGUCUGAUUAGCUUGUUGGCGGGGCAACGGCCCACCAAGGCUACGAUCAGUAGGGGUUCUGAGAGGAAAGCCCCCCACAUUGGAACUGAGACACGGUCCAAACUCCUACGGGAGGCAGCAGUGAGGAAUAUUGGUCAAUGGGCGAGAGCCUGAACCAGCCAAGUAGCGUGCAGGAUGACGGCCCUAUGGGUUGUAAACUGCUUUUAUGCGGGGAUAAAGCGGGCGACGUGUCGCCCCUUGCAGGUACCGCAUGAAUAAGGACCGGCUAAUUCCGUG